rnacentral:rRNA from 1 species
AGCUGUGGUUAGGAGUGAAAGGCUAAUCAAGCCCCGUAAUAGCUGGUUCUCUCCGAAAUAUAUUUAGGUAUAGCGUCAAAUGCUGAUUACCGGGGGUAAAGCACUGAAAAGGCUAGGGUUCACACCAGAAUACCGAACCUUAUCAAACUCUGAAUACCGGUGAGUGUAAUUUGGCAGUCAGUCAGUGGGGGAUAAGCUUCAUUGGCGAGAGGGAAACAUCCCAGACCAUCGAAUAAGGUCCCAAAGGUAGUGCUAAGUGGUAAGAAGGAUGUAAGUUUUCAUAGACAAUGGGGAUGUUGGCUUAGAGGCAGCCAUCAUUUAAAAAGUGCGUAAUAGCUUACCCAUCGAGAGAAUUUGCGCCGAAAAUGAUCGGGACUAAGUACUACACCGAAUUUGUGGAAUUAGUAAUAAUUGGUAGGAGAGCGUUCCAACAUCGUAGAAGGCGGAGCGGUGAGCGACGUUGGAGAGGUUGGAAGUGAGAAUCUAGGCAUGAGUAACGAAAAGCAUGGUCAAAAUCCAUGCCGCCGUAAGGAUAAGGUUUCCUGGGGAAGGUUCGUCCGCCCAGGGUUAGUCGGGAGCUAAGGCGAGGCCGUAAGGAGUAGUCGAUGCACAACGGGUUAAUAAUCCCGUACCGGCUUGGUAAUGUUUGAGUUGCAUAUUGACGGAUGAGUGGAUGCUGGCGAGGUGAUGAACGUCCUCGUCUAAGGUGUUGUAAGGCACUGAUGGGACUUUGAGGCUACGGCCGAGGGGGAUCAGCAAUAGCUAAUUCCAGGAAAAUUUAUGCAAUUAAUUAUCAGGUUGCCCGUACCGCAAACCGACACAGGUAUCCGGGAUGAGUAUUCUAAGGCGCGUGAGUUAAAUCUCUCCAAGGAACUCGGCAAAAUGGCCCCGUAUCUUCGGUAGAAGGGGUGCCAACGCGAGUUGGUCUCAGUAAAGAGGCCCAACCGACUGUUUAUCAAAAACACAGCUCUCUGCCAAGUCGCAAGACAACGUAUAGGGAGUGACAUGUGACCAAUGCGGAAAGGUGAAAACUGCUUGUGAAAGCUUGUGGUCUAAGCCCCCGUGAAUGUCGGCCGUAACUAUAACGGUCCUAAGGUAGCGAAAUUCCUUGUCGGGUAAGUUCCGACCUGCACGAAUCAUGUAACGAGUUGGGUGCUGUCUCAGGGAGAAGCUCAGUGAAAUUGUAGUCGCGGUUAAGAUGCCGCGUACCCGCAGAAGGACGGAAAGACCCUAUGAACCUUUACUGUAAACUGAUAUUGUCGUUUGAUUUUUAAUACGUAGGAUAGCCGGGAGGCUAUGAGUUGUCACUCCAGGGUGAUGAUGAGCCGCAAUGUGAAAUACCGGUUUUUAACUAUUAGGCGUCUAACCACAUACCGUAAGCCGGUUGUGGGACAGUGUUAGUGGGUCAGUUUGACUGGGGCGGUCUCCUCCCAAAAAGUAACGGAGGACUGCGAAGGUUCCCUCAGACCGGAUGGUAAUCGGUCGUCGAGGAUAUGGCUAAAAGGGAGCUUAACUGUGAGACCUACAAGUCGAGCAGAUGGGAAACCAGGCCCAAGUGAUCCGGCGAUAGCUCGUGGGAGCGUCGUCGCUUAUGGGACAAAAGGUACUCUAGGGAUAACAGGCUGAUUUCGCCCAAGCGUUCAUAGCGACGGCGAAGUUUGGCACCUCGAUGUCGGCUCAUCACAUCCUGGGGCUGUAGAAGGUCCCAAGGGUUUGGCUGUUCGCCAAUUAAAGUGGUACGCGAGCUGGGUUCAGAACGUCGUGAGACAGUUCGGUCCUCUAUCCUCUGUGGGCGUUGGAAAAUUGAGGGGUUCAGACCUUAGUACGAGAGGACCGGGUCUGACGCACCACUGGUGCAUCGGUUGUACUGUCAAGUGCAUGGCCGAGUAGCUAAGUGCGGACGGGAUAAGCGCUGAAAGCAUCUAAGCGCCAAGCCCUUCCCAAGAUGAGUUUUCCCUACAGGUUCGUGGAAGACCACCACGUUGAUAGGUCGCAGGUGUAAGUGCAGCAAUGUAUUGAGCCAAGCGAUACUAAUUACCAAUUGACUUCAUC